rnacentral:Y_RNA from 1 species
GACUAGUCUGAAGGUAGUGAGUUCUCAACUGACAGUUCAGUCAGUUGCAGAUUGAAUGCCUUUUUCCACUCUUUCCUCCCUUCUCAUUACUGCACUUGACUGGUCUUUA